rnacentral:rRNA from 1 species
CCUACGGGUGGCUGCAGUGGGGAAUAUUGGACAAUGGGCGAAAGCCUGAUCCAGCCAUGCCGCGUGUGUGAAGAAGGCCUUCGGGUUGUAAAGCACUUUCAGUGGGGAAGAAAGCCUUGGGGCUAAUACCCUCGAGGAAGGACAUCACCCACAGAAGAAGCACCGGCUAACUCCGUGCCAGCAGCCGCGGUAAUACGGAGGGUGCGAGCGUUAAUCGGAAUUACUGGGCGUAAAGCGCGCGUAGGCGGUCUGAUAAGCCGGUUGUGAAAGCCCCGGGCUCAACCUGGGAACGGCAUCCGGAACUGUCAGGCUAGAGUGCAGGAGAGGAAGGUAGAAUUCCCGGUGUAGAGGUGAAAUGCGUAGAGAUCGGGAGGAAUACCAGUGGCGAAGGCGGCCUUCUGGACUGACACUGACGCUGAGGUGCGAAAGCGUGGGUAGCAAACAGGAUUAGAUACCCGUGUAGUC